AGCAGAGUGGCGCAGUGGAAGCGUGCUGGGCCCAUAACCCAGAGGUCGGUGGAUCGAAACCACUCUCUGCUA
rnacentral:tRNA from 2 species